UACAGAGGUCUCAAGCGUUGUUCGGAUUCAUUGGGCGUAAAGGGUGCGUAGGCGGCGCGGUAAGUCGGGUGUGAAAUCUCGGAGCUUAACUCCGAAACUGCAUUCGAUACUGCCGUGCUUGAGGACUGGAGAGGAGACUGGAAUUUACGGUGUAGCGGUGAAAUGCGUAGAUAUCGUAAGGAAGACCAGUGGCGAAGGCGAAUCUCUGGACAGUUACUGACACUGAGGCACGAAGGUCAGGGGAGCAAACGGG
rnacentral:rRNA from 1 species